UCUCUCUCACCAGGUUUGUCUGGUUUAGGGUUUUUUAAUAAAAUGGUUAUUUAUUUUAGCUUGUUGAAUUUAUAGGAAUAUGAGAGCUCUCCAAUAUCUUCUUCUUGGUUCUCUCUAUUUAAUAAAAUGUUUUUUCUUUGUUUUUGUACUGUUUGAUUCUUGUAAUUUGGCAAUGGCCAGAUUAGGGUUUUGAAUGCGAAGAAGAGAGGCCAAGAAGGGAAUAUUUAUACAUAUACUUUUUUUUUUUUUGUUUUCCUUUUCUGUUGAUGGAUCUUGAGCUAUAGAGUUUACUUUUCUCUCCACAGCCUCCUGAUUUUUUUUUUUUAUAGUUUUGUGCUUUUGAAGUUUGUCUUUUGUGCUUUUGAAGAUUGGCCUAAACUAGGGUUUCUAGAGUUUUCAGAUUUGAUUCAUGGAUUCAGAGAGAUUAGGGAUGUUUAAUCUUGUAAAAGUGCAGGUUCUAGAGAUUGUAGGUGUUGAUAUUUUUAUUUUGUGUUUCUUAGAAUAAUGGGGUUAAGGUACAGUGAGAUAAGAUAUGGGGACUUAUGGGGUCUAUGACCCUCGGAUAGAGCAGAAUGACAUACUGGGAUUUGUGUAGUUAAGAAAAAACUUUGUUGAUUAUGACAUGAUGUCUAACUGUUGCUCCUUAUGAUGUUAGAGAGAGAGAGAGAGAAGAGAAGAGAGAGAGGAUUAUCUCACAAGUGUCUUAGAUGCUCCUUUUGGUUAUCUUGAUGAAUCCUCUGUUUAAUUCUUCUCCUUUGCUUCUCUUCAUAGUUAAGUUUGAGCAUCAAUCAAUCUCCUUUAUGAAUGCUCAUUCUGACAGUAAAUAGUUACCCCCUAUCUUCAUCUGAAUCAUUCUCUCUCUCUCACUUAAUAUAUGUCUCAGUUUAAGUUUUCAAUACAUGAUGCAAAAGAUCUCUCACUGUAAUUUGCCAUGAUCUCUCCCUCUCUCACUGCUUGUUGUGUUUAAUAACUCAUCCUCUAUUAGUUUUCUUGUAUUGCUCAUUCCCUCUCUCCUCUCUCUUCUCUCUCUCUCUCUCUCUCUCUCUCUCUCUCUCUCUUGUAUUUCUGUGCUUACAGGUUGCACCAUGCAUAUUCAUGGCUUUUCAGUUUUCUGUACUUUAAUAAUGUCUUCUGAUAUGGUCUUUUUGAUUUGGUGUGCUAACUAUUCAUCUUAAGGUUUUCUAUAGAAGUGUAGAAUGGGGUGUAUUUUCUCUUACUCUACAACUUUAAUGGCUUUAGUAUUAGUUACAUGCAAAAUUUUCCCAAGAUUUUCUGUAGAACUGUAAUAUGAAUUGUAUUUUUUCUUUCUCACCCUAAUUACAUGCACACUUAUUCUAAUUCUUUCUGUAAAUUGUAGAAUGAAGUGUGUUAUUUCUUUCUCAAUCCAGAAUUUUCAUAGCUUCCAUAUUUGGUUACAUGCAAAAUUGGGACUUGCGGAGGGAGCUCUCUUUAGUCCACCUAUGGUUGGUGUCUAGGGGUCGAAUUAUCUGCCGACUCAUUCAUUCAAAUAAUUGGUAGAAAGGCCGUGAUUUUUCUCUCUACUCUUUAAAUUUGUGAAUGAUGCGGGAGAUAAAUUUCACCCUUGCCUCACCAUUCUUGGACUGAAGGGAGCUCCCUCUCUCUCUCUCAUCUCUCACUCUCAUCUCUCUCUCUCUCUCUCCUCUGUUUAUGAGUUAUGUUUGGGGAGCUUUUAGCUGGAGAGAGAGACAUUACAAUAUAUUCAAAUGCCCAACUCAAUUGAUUUUGCUUUUAUUGGGCUUCUAGUUCUCUAUUCAAAUGAACUGAUUUCUCUUCAUAUUUGCAGUUUUUUUCAAAAAGUUUGAUACGGUAAGGUCUCACUCUCUUAACUGGUAAAUCCAGUUUCCCUCUCUUGGUAUAUCUCAUUACAAUAUCAGAAUUGAGGAUUUACAUUUAUCUUUGGAAGUAUUAACCUUACUUCUUAUAUGAAUAACUAGUAUGAAGUUCUAGAGAGAGAAACUACAGUCUUUUGUUGCUUCAGCUCCUUGGGAUUAUUAAGUUGAGUACGCUAUUAGUUUUCCCCGUUGUAACUCUUUUGUGGUUUUCUCCCCCUCUUAUUUUCUCGUGAUAUUGCUCUCUUAAUUUCUGAUGAUUUUCUCUCUUAAUUUCUAAUGAUCUCUCUCUCCCCCAAAAAAAAAAAAAACAUAUCUGAUACUAUCUUUCUCACACAGUUGUGGUGCAGGUGCAAUGAAGCCUAGAUUUUCCUCUCAUGUUUUGAAGUGCAAUCUCUCUCUAGCGUGUAGUUCAAGUGCAUUCUCUCUCUUGUGCCCCUCUCUUCGUGUAGUUCUUACUGCAAACUCAUGGUGUGAAACUGGAGUUUCUCUCUCUAGGGCUCUAUCUGAUGCACACUCUCCCUCUACAUGUGCAUUCUCUCUCUAGUUCAAGUGCUUUCUGCAUUCCCCCCCCCCCCUCACACAUGUUUAAGUGCAAUCUCUUUCUCUCUCUUAAUGUUCAGGUGCAAUUUGGUUUCUCUUCAAUGGCGGUUUAUAAAUUUGGCCUAAUAAUGUGUUUCCUCUCUUUCUCUCUCUAAAAUCUGUCGUACAAUUUUGUUACACUAAAAAGAGAGAGAGAGAGAGAGAGCGGUGCGCCUUGGAAGGAUGGAUGAUAUGAUGUUUGAGCAGCUGGCGGACACCGCCCCUCAUUUAAUCAAAUGGAUUGUUGACACUCGUCACUUCGGCCUCGAUGCUCGAGUGGGAGAUUCUUGCUCAUAGUUCGUUCUCAUACUGAGUAGCAAAUUGGAGAUACUUCAUGGAUUGAAUAUGGAUAUUUCCAGUUCUUGUUAAUGCCUCGAUCUCGCCUUCCCUUGACACUGCUGAAGUUGGAGCUCAACUUUUUUGUAAUUUUGAAUUGUGAUUUGUUGCCACACUGCAUCUUGAAAUUUUCGGAUCCGCGCUGAACUUUUUCAUGUCCCCAGUUUGGUCUGUCUCUCUAUACAAUUUGCUUGCUUAAUCUAAAGAAAGCAGUGAUUUUUGGACUGAA